rnacentral:rRNA from 1 species
UACGUAGGUGGCAAGCGUUGUCCGGAUUUACUGGGCGUAAAGAGCGCGCAGGCGGUCGUUCAAGUCGCGUGUGAAAGCCCCCGGCUCAACUGGGGAGGGUCACGCGAUACUGAUCGACUCGAAGGCAGGAGAGGGAAGUGGAAUUCCCGGUGUAGUGGUGAAAUGCGUAGAUAUCGGGGAGGAACACCAGUGGCGAAGGCGGGUCUCUGGGCCGAUACUGACGCUGAGGAGGCGAA